AGAAUCAACGCUGGCGGCGUGCCUAACACAUGCAAGUCGAACGAGAAAGGGGAGCAAUCCCUGAGUAAAGUGGCGACCGGGUGAGUAACACGUGACUAACCUACCCUCGAGUGUGGAAUAACAUCGGGAAACCGAUGCUAAUACCGCAUAACAUCGGCGCUUUUAAGAGAUGCCGAUCAAAGGAGCAAUCCGCUUGAGGAGGGGGUCGCGGCUGAUUAGCUAGUUGGCGGGGUAACGGCCACCAAGGCGAAGAUCGGUAGCCGGCCUGAGAGGGCGCACGGCCACACUGGAACUGAAACACGGUCCAGACUCCUACGGGAGGCAGCAGUGGGGAAUUUUGCGCAAUGGGGGAAACCCUGACGCAGCAACGCCGCGUGGAGGAUGAAGCCCCUUGGGCGUAAACUCCUUUCGACCAAGACGAUAAUGACGGUACUGGUGGAAGAAGCACCGGCUAACUCUAGUGCCAGCAGCCGC
rnacentral:rRNA from 1 species